rnacentral:tRNA from 1 species
AGCGUAGUUUAAUGGUAGAACCUUAGCCUUCCAAGCUAAUGACGUGGGUUCGAUUCCCAUCGCU